GGAGCCUGCGGCUUAAUUUGACUCAACACGGGAAACCUCACCCGGCCCGGACACCGCGAGGAUUGACAGAUUGAGAGCUCUUUCUCGAUUCGGUGGGUGGUGGUGCAUGGCCGUUCUUAGUUGGUGGAGCGAUUUGUCUGGUUAAUUCCGAUAACGAACGAGACUCUAGCCGGUUAAGUAGCCCGGAGCGGUUUUUGAUCUUUGCCGUCCGUCCUCCGUCCUACCUUUUUUUUCCCGUCCUCGGCCGACCGGCCACGGAGGGAAAAGGGAAAGGCGAGGAGGUGGUCAUCCGUGGUGGUUUUUCUGUCCCGUGCACGUUCGCCUUUACCGGCGGGCGUCGUGCGGGCGGUACCCUCGGGGAAACCGUCGCUUCGUUUCCUCCCUCACCUUUCGCCCGCGAGGUCGAGACGGAAAGGGUGGUCGAGGCGGAAGCAUAACCGAAGGCCGCCGGCUUUGACAGGAAGCUUCUUAGAGGGACGAGCGGCGUUCAGCCGCCCGAGAUUGA
rnacentral:rRNA from 1 species